rnacentral:rRNA from 1 species
AUUGAACGCUGGCGGCAGGCCUAACACAUGCAAGUCGAGCGAGCGGCGGACGGGUGAGUAAUGCCUAGGAAUCUACCUGGGGGUGGGGGACAACGUCAGGAAAAGGGCGCUAAUACCGCAUAACAUCGGAGGUGCCCAGAGGGGAUUAGCUAGUAGGGGGGGUAAAGGCUCACCUAGGCGACGAUCCCUAGCUGGUCUGAGAGGAUGACCAGCCACACUGUAACUGAGACACGGUCCAGACUCCUACGGGAGGCAGCAGUGGGGAAUAUUGCACAAUGGGCGCAAGCCUGAGGCAGCCAUGCCGCGUGUAUGACGAAGGCUGUCGGGUUGUAAAGUACUUUCAGCGGGGAGGCGUUACCCGCAGAAGAAGCCCCGGCUAACUCCGUGCCAGCCGCCGCGGUAAUAC